GCUAAUUUUGGAACAUUUAUAUGUAUUUGUUUUACAGUUUGUAAAUUUUUACUUAAAAAUGAUUUCAGACACGUAAGGCGAUCGGGCAAGCUGAUUAUAUGUAAUUAGACCUCCUAAUUAUGUGACAACAGUUUCUAAAUGUUCCACCUAACUAGAGACCGAGUGUGGCUGAAAGCUGGCUCUUCAUUUUAUUAGAGCCACAAUACAACAUUCAGCGCCUCUGCACCCUACUUGCCAAAUAAAAACUCUAUUCUACUACUCUACUCUAGACUUGGUGAUAUUACGCUAAGCCACGCUACGUCGCUACACACACAUCGGUACAGUGAAGUCAAGAGGAGGAGAAUUUAAUAUUGAUGUUAAAAUAAUAUAUAGAAAUAAUGUAUAAUUUUUAGAAAAAUCCAAAUCAAAUCAACUCACAUUCCAGUUUUCUUACGGCAGCAAAAAUGUAGCCAAAGAGGCUACUUUCUAUAAUAAACUAUUUAUAUAUUUAAUCCUGGUCAUUCUGGUACCAAAAAUGUACC